rnacentral:rRNA from 1 species
UACGUAGGGUGCAAGCGUUGCCCGGAUUUAUUGGGCGUAAAGGGCGCGUAGGCGGCUCUGCACGUCCGUUGUGAAAUCGCCCCGGCUCAACUGGGCGGGGUCAGCGGAUACGGCAGAGCUUGAGCAAGCUAGGGGGCAAUGGAAUUCCCGGUGUAGUGGUGGAAUGCGUAGAUAUCGGGAGGAACACCAGUGGCGAAGGCGGGUCUCUGGGCCGAUACUGACGCUGAGGAGCGAAAGCGUGGGGAGCGAACAGG